rnacentral:rRNA from 1 species
UACGUAGGGGGCAAGCGUUGUCCGGAAUCACUGGGCUUAAAGCGUGUGUAGGCGGAUUCCUAAGUACCUUGUGAAAUCCCACGGCUCAACCGUGGAACUGCUCGGUAUACUGGGUAUCUUGAGCCACUUAGGGGCGACCGGAACAAAUGGUGGAGCGGUGAAAUGCGCAGAUAUCAUUUGGAACGCCAAUGGUGAAAACAGGUCGCUGGGAGUGUGCUGACGCUGAGACACGAAAGCCAGGGGAGCAAACGGG